GAUGAACGCUGGCGGCGUGCCUAACACAUGCAAGUCGAACGAGAAGCUAACCUUUGAUUCCUUCGGGAUGAUCAGGUUGGCAGAAAGUGGCGAACGGGUGAGUAACGCGUGGGUAAUCUACCCUAAAGUGGGGGAUAACCCUCCGAAAGGAGGGCUAAUACCGCAUAAUAUCUUCUCCUCCCAAGAGAAGAAGAUCAAAGAUGGCCUCUAUACUAUGCUAUCACUUCAGGAUGAGCCUGCGUCCUAUUAGUUAGUUGGUGGGGUAAUGGCCUACCAAGACCACAAUGGGUAGCCGGUCUGAGAGGAUGUACGGCCACACUGGGACUGAGAUACGGCCCAGACUCCUACGGGAGGCAGCAGUGGGGAAUAUUGCGCAAUGGGGGAAACCCUGACGCAGCGACGCCGCGUGGACGAUGAAGGCCUUCGGGUUGUAAAGUCCUGUUCUGGGGGAAGAAACCUUAAGGGUCCAAUAAACCCUUAAGCUGACGGUACC
rnacentral:rRNA from 1 species